GACUUUGACCGGCCACCCAUGUACAUCUAUGAGUAGGUUCUUAAUCAAUUAUUUUUUCAAACAACUUCUAGUAAUUGAUUUUGCCCUAGACAUCUCUUCAACAGGCAUGUGGCACCUUCACUGAAAAUCUUGAUUAGGUCCAACCAUUAAUAUGAUGCACCAAGUGCAUCUAACAAAUGAAUGUUUAGGUCUGAGUGUGACUUGGCCAACUCA
rnacentral:lncRNA from 1 species